rnacentral:rRNA from 1 species
GAUGAACGCUGGCGGCGUGCCUCAAACAUGCAAGUCGAGCGGGGCUAUGUAAUAUCGCAAGGUAGAACAUAGCCUAGCGGCGAACGGGUGAGUAACACGUGGGUAACCUGCCUGGAAGACAGGGAUAACGAUUCGAAAGGGUCGCUAAUACCUGAUAAUAUCCUUUCAUCGCAUGGUGAUAGGAAGAAAGGGGAAACCCGCUUUCAGAUGGGCCCGCGUCCCAUCAGCUAGUUGGUAAGGUAAAGGCUUACCAAGGCGACGACGGGUAGCCGGUCUGAGAGGAUGUACGGCCACACUGGGACUGAGAUACGGCCCAGACUCCUACGGGAGGCAGCAGUUGGGAAUUUUGGACAAUGGGCGCAAGCCUGAUCCAGCCAUUCCGCGUGCAGGAUGAAGGCCCUCGGGUUGUAAACUGCUUUUGUACGGAGCGAAAAGGCUCUCUCUAAUACAAGGGGCUCAUGACGGUACCGUAAGAAUAAGACACCGGCUAACUACGUGCCAGCAGACCGG